UGGCGACCCGGCACCCGACAGCGCAGGCAGAGCGGAGCGCAGGGGCGUGGCGUCGCGAGCGGGCGAAUUCUCUAGUAGCAGCCGGCCGGUAGGCAGUGCCCAGGUGUCCCCUUGCCGACCGGCAGUUGUCCCUGUUCUCGCCGGUCGUGCGAUGGCCGGAGCCCUUCCCAUCACUCGGAGGAGCACCUAUAGCUCGCCGGGAUAACCCGACGCGUCGCCCAGCCACUGGAGGAAUGGGGACCCGAGCUCUCUCCGCGAGCCCGCGGUCGCCAAGCCCUGCCUUCCCUUCUGCAGCUCCUCACCAUGAGCGUUUCCACCGUGUCCCCGACAUCUUGAGGAGGCAGCAGCGCCGGGUGCGCCUUCUGAAUCAUUGAACCAGGCAAGGAAGCAGACCUCUUGAAGGUGAUGGUCAUCGUCCCUGUAAAGACUGCAUUAGCACUUCUGUAUGCUGUCAUGAAAAAUGUGGAGUCUAUCAUGGUCCCCAGUGCACCACCGUGGACAAUCCUAUAAGGCCAGAUGAAAGGAGAAAAGGAAGAAACAGUCACUAUACUGGUGAGAUGCUGGUGAAGGGUCCCUGUCAACCAGGACCAGGUCCUGUUUCACUCAGUGUGGAGCAGAGAAAUGAGGAAAACACAAAUGCCAAGGUAAAACAAGCAAUGUUGUCUACGGUUACAGAUGGGGCAUGGAGGACAGAUACCAUCGUCACCAUCAUCCUCAUCAAUGACUGCUCUGAGACUCAGGAAGUUCAGGUUGGCUCAUACAGGAAGGAGCGGGGCCAGGACCUGUCUUCCAAUGUCCCCUAAGGAAAGUGUGACGUUGCUCAACAUCCAGGAUUCAUCUUACUUCAGAAGUAUUAGGUACCCUAAAUGAUUUCUGCAGGGGUCAGAGAGAGAAGAGUCCUGGCAAUCAACAGUCUGGCAAAAGGCAGAGGAAACCCUUCUUAAAAUCUCACACCAGUUGCAGAACUGGUCCAAUCUAUUGCACCCAGCAUGGUGCCUGUCUCAUGGGGUUGACUGCAUCAGGGUCACAUCCUCCAGAGCACAGCCAAGCAGUAGGAUAGCCAGGCUGAGAAGCACAUGGCAUGUGUUAGCCAAUGCAGGAGUUAAGGUGGAAAAGCCUGUGACUCUGGAGACAUCCUCCUGGGGAUUCCAGUUUGGCAGUAUGCUGGCAGCCAAUUCAUGUUUUUUCUCACCAAAUAAAAUUUUAUUGCUAUCCUGUCACUAAUAGCCCCAAAUCAUAAAGUAAUAGUCAAUUAUUGGAUUUCUUCCUCAGAUUAGAAUUUUAAGUGAAAUGUUUGACAUCAGGAAUUUUAUUCAUUAUAUUGAAACUCAAGUAAUUUUAUGUAACUAAUCAUCUUGAAGGAGUCUUUUUAGAUCAUGAGCACCAAGAUUGAAGUAGUAAUAGUCUCCCAACAAAUGAAAGCCCAGAACUGAAUAGAUUCGUAGCCAAAUUCUAUCAGAUCUUUAAAGAAGAAUUACCACCAAUGCUCCUCAAACUAUUCUAUAAAAUAGAAAGGGAAGGAAUGUUAUCAAACUCAUUUGGUGAAGACAGGGUAAGGACAGAUAAGGACACAACAACAAAAAGAAUA